rnacentral:rRNA from 1 species
GUUUGAUUCUGGCUCAGAACGAACGCUGGCGGCGUGGAUAAGACAUGCAAGUCGAACGACGAUCAGAGGGUAGCAAUAUUUUCUGGUUGGAGUGGCGCAAGGGUGCGUAACACGUGGGUAAUCUGCCGUGAAGUUGGGGAUAACUCGCUGAGAGGCGAGCUAAUACCGAAUGUGAUUGUUAGAAGGCAUCUUCAGACAAUCAAAGUUGGGGACCGCAAGGCCUGACGCUUCACGAUGAGCCCGCGGCCUAUCAAGCUAGUUGGUGAGGUAACGGCCCACCAAGGCGAUGACGGGUAGCUGGUCUGAGAGGACGACCAGCCACACUGGAACUGAGACACGGUCCAGACACCUACGGGUGGCAGCAGUCGAGAAUUUUUCUCAAUGGGCGCAAGCCUGAAGGAGCGACGCCGCGUGGGGGAUGAAGGGCUUCGGCUCGUAAACCCCUGUCAUUUGCGAACAAUGCUGUUGGUCGAACAAGCCAGCAGUUGAUAGUAGCAAAAGAGGAAGGGACGGCUAACUCUGUGCCAGCAGCCGCGGUAAUACAGAGGUCCCAAGCGUUGUUCGGAUUCACUGGGCGUAAAGGGUGCGUAGGCUGUAAGGUAAGUUUGGUGUGAAAUCUCCAGGCCUAACCUGGAAACUGCACUGAAUACUAUCUUGCUAGAGGAUCGGAGGGGAGACUGGAAUUCUCGGUGUAGCAGUGAAAUGCGUAGAUAUCGAGAGGAACACCAGUGGCGAAGGCGAGUCUCUGGACGAUUCCUGACGCUGAGGCACGAAAGCUAGGGGAGCAAACAGGAUUAGAUACCCUGGUAGUCCUAGCCCUAAACGGUGCACAUUUGCUGUGAGCGGAAUCGACCCCGUUCGUGGCGUAGCUAACGCAUUAAAUGUGCCGCCUGGGAAGUACGGCCGCAAGGUUAAAACUCAAAGAAAUUGACGGGGGCCUGCACAAGCGGUGGAGUAUGUGGCUUAAUUCGAUUCAACGCGAAGAACCUUACCUGGCCUUGACAUGUAGGUAGUAGAAGGAUGAAAGUCUGACGAGGUAGCAUACCAGCUUACACAGGUGCUGCAUGGCUGUCGUCAGCUCGUGUCGUGAGAUGUUGGGUUAAGUCCCGCAACGAGCGCAACCCUCGUGUCCUGUUGCAAUCCGAACGAGAGUUCGGAGCACUCUGGACAGACUGCCUCAUUUAAAUGAGGAGGAAGGUGAGGAUGACGUCAAGUCAGGAUGGCCCUUACGGCCAGGGCUGCACACGUACUACAAUGCGCGGCACAAAGAGAAGCAAGACCGCAAGGUGGAGCAAAUCUCAAAAAACCGCGCCCAGUUCAGAUUGUCGGCUGCAACUCGCCGACAUGAAGCUGGAAUCGCUAGUAAUGGCGCAUCAGCUACGGCGCCGUGAAUACGUUCCCAGGCCUUGUACACACCGCCCGUCACAUCAUGAAAGCCGGUUGUACCCGAAGUCAGCGCGCCAACCGCAAGGAGGCAACUGCCGAAGGUAUGGCUGGUGAUUGGGAUGAAGUCGUAACAAGGUA